UUCUGAUAAAGGGUUUACCCCCGCUUUAUAUUAUAAAGCAUCCGGAUAUUUAGAGUAUUAUACAUCUCUAAUCUGCAUAUUUGAGACCAACAUGAUAAUGUUCCAUACUUCUUAAGCCAUUUUGGUGCCACCUAUUGUACCAUCAUUUUUUGCUUCAGGUAUUGUCCUUAUUUCCAAACAAUUCCAUUGUCUUCGCUUUCUCUACUCACAUGUGUUUUUUAGUCUUCCUCUCACUCUUUUGAGCUUCUACAGAACUGAUGUCUAACUGCUAUGUUUACCCUUCUGAAUAAUACCCUUAUCAAGUUUUCAGCUUUUAAUGUAAAACCGUAACCAAUUACCGAAAUUUUGGAGUUCUUUUUCACCUUUUCUUGUCCGGUUGUGGAUAAAAAAAACUUAUGCUGAAUCAUUACGUCUCCAGACGAGCAGUGCAGAUUUGAGAGUUGGGUUAUUUGUCAAAAGUUUUCCGUUUUAUCCAUACAAUAGAAAAAUUAGUUUUACAUAAUUUGAAUGUGUGCUCACAUGAGCUUGUAAACUUCUCUCAUGUGUCCACACAAGGGCGGAGGGAAGAUUCUUUCUGUGAAGAAACCUAUUUUGUAUGAAGUUGUAGUUGAUUUUGUCGGACUGGGAAGUGAUGGAUGCACCAAGUAGGUGGUCUUUAUUUCUGGGAUUAGAAUUUUCAAAAGGACUGUUUCUUCUCACCUUGAUCUUGUGAUCUAAUGAAACUUAUUCCUGAUUUUGAUCAGGGACACAACAGUGAAGAUGUUUUUGAAUUUCGUGCUGUAGCUAAAUGAACGAUUAUUAGAUAUUGGAGAAUUAACGAGGUAUGGCUACUGCCAAGCAUGCUUUCAGAAGUACACGAUUCAAGAGAUUUUCUAUUUUGGCAGAAGUUAGUGUGCCUACUAACAAGUGUGCUCUGAAAAUUAGUCAAUUACUGCACCAGCUGGACUUAUAGAUCGGUUCACAAGGUUCUUUCUGGAUAGUAGUUAUGGUUUUAAUACACUUAAAACAUGUAUGGUUAUUUGAUUCAUGAACAAAACAAAUAUAUUCUCUUUUGAGCUUUGGGCAUUUCACAUAUGACCAUUGUACUGUUGCACUAUUACUACCACCUAUGUGAAAGGUAAAUAAACCUUUCAGCAACAUAUGUUGGUAUAAUUCUCUCCCAACUAGCAUUAUAUGCCAUAUAUAGUUGUUUUUUUACUGAAAUGUUAGGAGCCUCGUGUAUAAGGUAUGCAGAAAUUCUCACUUUGAGGAAGUGAUUAAUUCUUCAUGUGCAGUAACCUGGAGAGAUGGUGCUGGUGGAUUCUAACCGCAAGGUGAGUGGCUUGAUCCUUCAUUAAUCAUGUUUAAUUUUAGAGAAAAGUAUAUUUUUCGUCCCUCAACUUUUGACGGAGUCUAGAUUUGGUCCCUCAUUUUCGAAACUGGACAACUUGCACCCCCAACUACUAAAACCGGACAAAAUUUAUCCCUGGUCUUGGUUUUGAGCGGUUUUGAUGCUGGCUCACCCCGGUUUUGACCGAUGCUGACUUAAAUACAUGUAUAUCUUUCAAAUAUGUGAAUCUUUUGAAAUUCAAGUACUUUUUCCAAAUCUCUGUACUUUUUCACGUUUGCGUUAAAAUUUCAAAUUCACAUACCUUUUUGAAAUCCGCACUAUUUUCAAAUCCACAUACUUUUUCAAGUUCACAUAAUUUUCCAAAUUCGCAUACUUUUUUCUAGUUCGCAUAUUUUUCUCGGAUCCGCGUACUUUUUUCAUGUUUGUGUACUGCUUUCAAAUCCGUGUACUUUUUCAAAUUCAUGAACUUUUAUAGAAAGUACACGGAUCUGAAAAAAAACACUUGAACUUGAAAAUGGUAUGCAGACCUAAAUAAAAUAAACUGAUUUGAAGAAAGUACGCGAAUUUGAGUCAAAGCACGGUCAAAACCGGCAAAAGUCAGCACCAAAACCGGUCAAAACCAUGUUCAAGGACGAACCUUGUCCGGUUUUAGUAGUUCAGAGUGCAAGUUGUCCGGUUUCGUAGUUGAGGGACCAAAUCUAGACUAUGCCAAAAGUUGAGGGACGAAAAGUAUACUUUUCUCUUAAUUUUAAAUGGAUGUGAAGUGAUUGUCCUAGAUCAAUGGGUGAUUUAUGUGCAAAUGCUACAGUCGAAGACAUGCAGUUGCUUGCCGUCGAUGAAGCGACAUCAACAUGGGUAGCUGAUCCAGUCAUCUAUUAGUCUGUUCGUCUUUCUUCCUUGCACUUUGUUCUUCAGUCAUGUGUUGGGCAUCCUUCCCCAUGCUACUGACUCAAUGGUGUCGCUAGCCCAUGCUUCUGACUCUCCAGACAUAUACUCACUUCUUAGAAAUCCCAUGGCAAUUGCUUUCAUGUGAA